UAGGGAAUCUUCGGCAAUGGACGAAAGUCUGACCGAGCAACGCCGCGUGAGUGAAGAAGGUUUUCGGAUCGUAAAACUCUGUUGUUAGAGAAGAACAAGGACGUUAGUAACUGAACGUCCCCUGACGGUAUCUAACCAGAAAGCCACGGCUAACUACGUGCCAGCAGCCGCGGUAAUACGUAGGUGGCAAGCGUUGUCCGGAUUUAUUGGGCGUAAAGCGAGCGCAGGCGGUUUGUUAAGUCAGAUGUGAAAUCCCCGGGCUCAACCUGGGAACUGCAUCUGAUACUGGCAAGCUUGAGUCUCGUAGAGGGGGGUAGAAUUCCAGGUGUAGCGGUGAAAUGCGUAGAGAUCUGGAGGAAUACCGGUGGCGAAGGCGGCCCCCUGGACAAAGACUGACGCUCAGGUGCGAAAGCGUGGGGAGCAAACAGG
rnacentral:rRNA from 1 species